rnacentral:rRNA from 1 species
UACGUAGGGUGCAAGCGUUGUCCGGAAUUAUUGGGCGUAAAGAGCUUGUAGGCGGUUUGUCGCGUCUGCUGUGAAAUUUCGGGGCUCAACCCCGAACUUGCAGUGGGUACGGGCAGACUAGAGUGUGUAGGGGAGACUGGAAUUCCUGGUGUAGCGGUGAAAUGCGCAGAUAUCAGGAGGAACACCGAUGGCGAAGGCAGGUCUCUGGGCAUUAACUGACGCUGAGGAGCGAAAGCAUGGGGAGCGAACAGGA